ensembl:lncRNA
GAUUGUUUGCAGAUAAUGCUGUUCUUCUUUUUCAGAAGUUUUUGGUGAGCCAACUCUCACAAACCUUCCUAAAAACUAAAAGAGCUAUUACUGAGUCUCGGCUAAUCUUGCCAUGGUCAGCUCUUCCCAGGUUCAUUUGUUUACUCAUCAAAUGCUCUGGUCUGAAUCUUACUUUAAAUUAACUUAAUUAUAUGUUUAAUGAGCAAUAUUAAUUGCACACAUAGUAAGAUUAUCUUGUUUCACAGAAGAGAAGGAAGACCAAGGAAAUUAUUUGCUCAGGAUGAGAAAUGAAGAUGGCCAUCUUGUGCUCAAACAAACAGAAGUCCUCUGAUGAUCUCAUCAGCCAAAUGAGGGGUUUUGACCAAGUGAUGCUCUUGAAAGGAGUGAAAGAAGAGGAUGUGGUAAAUUGUCUUAAAGCAGCUUGAAGAAUGGUCUGGGAUGUUAGGACUGAGAGAUCCUCUGACUGAGAGAAGCUACACCACAUCAGUGCUGGAUAUCAACCACAAACUGUUUCCAGACACGAGAGAAGAAGAUCAUGAUGGGGAGAUGAAACCAGUUUAGAUGUGAUGAUAAGGAAUCAUUAUUUUCUGAAACAGGAUCAAAUGUCUUAUAUGUAUCACAUGAUCUGUAUCACAGUUGACUGGAUGGGACUGUGUGACUCUUUAAGUACAUUUCAUCACUCAUCUGUGUGAACUGAUUAAUAUAUGAGGUUAAUGUAUUUUUGAUUAUGAAUAAUUAUUUUCCUUGAAUCUUAUUUGUCUUGAUGCUACUUUAUCAUCUGUAUAGUCUAUGCUUCAAUAAAAUGAAAAUUGUGAAUAUUGUGUUCUGAAGAUUCUUGGUAAACACAUCAUUUUACUAGGUAGGCUCAUAUGUGUUUAUUU